rnacentral:rRNA from 1 species
UACGGGGGGGGGCAAGCGUUGUUCGGAAUUACUGGGCGUAAAGGGCUCGUAGGCGCCAACUAAGUCAGACGUGAAAUCCCCCGGCUUAACCAGGGAACUGCGUCUGAUACUGGAUGGCUUGAGUUUGGGAGAGGGAUGCGGAAUUCCAGGUGUAGCGGUGAAAUGCGUAGAUAUCUGGAGGAACACCGGUGGCGAAGGCGACAUCCUGGACCAAUACUGACGCUGAGUGAGCGAAAGCCAGGGGAGCAAACGGG